AUUGAACGCUGGCGGAAUGCUUUACACAUGCAAGUCGAACGGCAGCACGGGGGCAACCCUGGUGGCGAGUGGCGAACGGGUGAGUAAUACAUCGGAACGUGCCCGGUCGUGGGGGAUAACGUAGCGAAAGUUGCGCUAAUACCGCAUACGAUCUGAGGAUGAAAGCGGGGGACCUUCGGGCCUCGCGCGAUCGGAGCGGCCGAUGUCAGAUUAGGUAGUUGGUGGGGUAAAGGCCUACCAAGCCGACGAUCUGUAGCUGGUCUGAGAGGACGACCAGCCACACUGGGACUGAGACACGGCCCAGACUCCUACGGGAGGCAGCAGUGGGGAAUUUUGGACAAUGGGCGCAAGCCUGAUCCAGCCAUUCCGCGUGCAGGACGAAGGCCUUCGGGUUGUAAACUGCUUUUGUAUGGAACGAAAAGGCUCUGGCUAAUACCUGGGGCUCAUGACGGUACCGUAAGAAUAAGCACCGGCUAACUACGUG
rnacentral:rRNA from 1 species